rnacentral:lncRNA from 1 species
UAGUUUUAUUAAUUCUCGCUGGCCCCCAUCUGUGCUUUCGACUGGAUUCAGAACUCAGUUUAUCUUCCAGGCUCCCUGUCUUUGGGUCUUGAUCACCACAGAGGGGAAGGGGAGAAUCCAGAGAUAAAAUGUGAGACUGAAACUGUUUUAAAGAAGCAUACAAGAAAGAAGCACACACUUUAUUAGGGAGAUGUUGAUGAGAUGCUUACAACCCGCCCGCCACCCCCCAGCCCCAGCUAGGCCAUCUGGCAGGUACCGCCCGUGCGCCAGGCAUCGUUUUCAAAUUGCAAGACCGAAAUCCAAUCAACCGAAAUAAUUUCUUAGGAAGAUAAGCUUGCAACACGUGCAAUAAUGAAAAAAUUUAACUAGCAUUAAAAAUAUUCAGGAAUGUCGAGCAAUUACCACCUGGCCGCAGUCACAGGACAGAAGACGGAAUAAAUGGGCACGCACCAAAGGUUUAUAUUAAAGUGUAAGUUUCAGCCCCUCAGUAUAUUUAAGGGAGGCUGCUCUGCAGAGGAAACCUCUGCCUUCUCGGCGAGGGAGUUUCCGAGCUACCUUAACUGGGGCGCAACGCAGCCUUCCGCCACCAGAGGCAGCGGGCGUCUGCGGCCUGUCAAAAACUGGCGCUUUUUUCCUCCCCUUUCCGUGGAGAGACUAUCAACUCCAUCUGUCACAAAAAUUAAGGCUAAAUCUCCUCUCCAGAAGCAGAGGGAGCCGGGGCUCCGACGCGCUCAGCGUCGGGCUGUCUGCCUCUCCCUAGAGGCCAAGUGAAUUUGAAAUGGCAAAAGUCACAGCCGGAGGCCCAGCACUAGGAGAUUCCUCCGGCUGCGGGAAAUCUUCCUGUACCUGCUGAAGCUGCUGCGUUCCUCAGAGGCGCUUGGUCUGCCGUGGGAAGCUGCACCUCUGCAGUCCCCAAAACCAAAAUCAAACCUUAAAAGAGCCAGACUGAGGUAAGGCGGACCGUCUUGCUCUGAUUUGAGUAUUGGUAGACAAACAGCAAUAUAAAUCGAUACUAAAAAAAUCCAGAAAGGCUGCAACUUCAUGGCACAUCAAAACAACCAUAUCCCUGGCUCUCUGUCUCUUUUUUUUUCUCUAUUAUUUGGAGUUGUCCUCUCAGUCCGGCCUGGAGGACUUGGACAACUCAGACACCUUCUCUGUGUCUGGGAUCCCUCCACAGAAGCCAGUCACCACGUAAGACAUCUGGACCACCUUCAGACUCGCAUGCUGUGAGGAAGCCCAUGCUUACUAUGUGUAGAGGAUACAUGGAGAAGGAAAGAGAUGCCUGGCCAGCUCCCUGCUGUUUCAGCCAUGUGAGUGAAGAAGGCACCAGACUUGUGAGUGGAGACACUAACUUGGAUGUCCAGCCCAGCUGAACCUUCAGGCAGAGGUGCUGAGCAGCUAAUUGGAGGGGAUAGUAUGAGCCUCCAAAGAUUAGGGAAGAAAAUUGCAGUUGAAGAAAACUUGCUUUGGUUCAAUGCAAAAAUAAUGGGAUGAAUGGCAUGCUGAAAUAUCAUAUGACUUACGAAAAUGAUGAAUGUGAUUCCCAAACUCAAUAAGAGGAGAAAUGAUGACAAGAAGCAAAGGCCGUCUACAGCCCUCACGUUAGGUUUAUUGAAUCUACAUAUGUGGAACCCAUGAAUGGGAGUCGGAGAAGGGGGCAACUGUAUACGCAAAAAGCUAUCAUAAUUGCCAAAAUAGUGAUAACAAUGUUGAAACACUACUGGGAUUACUACUGUUAAUGACUACCAGUGAUCAAGCACCUCCCCUGCCCCAGUGUUUGCCUGCCUUGUUUGAAGACACGAAAAAAUGUACACAAAAUGAUUUAGAACUGUUGAACUUUUCAGAAAAUAAUUUAAAAUCAUCUACCUCAUAACUAAAGGUGAAGGAAAUGAAGUAGAAGGAUGUUACAUACCUUGUUCAAAGUGACAUAGCUGAGUCUGCUUGGACUGUGGUUCAAGCCAUGCAGCCUAACUCUAGAACCCAUGCUUUGCUACCUGACUUUCCAGACGUAGGAGGCAAAUACCAUAAUCAGCUCCUUGUUUAGAGGUGUAGGAAUUGAGGCCCAGAAAAAAUAAGUAACUUGUCCAAAAUAUGUAGUGAAAUUGGUACUUGAACUUUUGUCUGUCUUUCAACUACACUACCACCUCUAAAUGCUCAAAUUCAGAUCAUUUUAGAUUUAAGGACUAGAAAUAGCCUUGGAGAUCAUGUUAUUAAAUAAUUACUCAUUUUACAGAUAAUCUGUAAUCACUAAAAUCAUUUACCUAAAGCAGUCAGGAACAGGUUCUAUACAGCAAAGCAACUUAACAUACAAAGGAAAAUUAUUGUUUGAAAUAUUAUUUCUAUUUUUUUUUUUUUUGAGAUGGAGUUUCGCUUUUGUCACCCAGGCUAGAGUGCAGUGAUACGAUCUCAGCUCACUGCAACCUCCGCCUCCCAGGUUCAAGCGAUACUCCUGCCUCAGCCUCCCGAGCAGCUGGGAUUACAGGUGCCCACCACCAUGCCCAGCUAAUUUUUGUAUUUUUGGUAGAGAGGGACUUUGACCAUGUUGGCCAGGCUGGCCUCGAACUCCUGACCUCAGGUGAUCCACCUGCCUCAGCCUCCUAAAGGGCUGCGAUUAUAGGCAUGAGUCAUCACACCCGGCUGAAAUAUUACUUCUAUUUAAUAUUUAAGAAAACAAAAUGAGGAAUUCAAUUCUUGAUGGCAACACAGCUCUUGCUAGUAACUUAAAUGCCUCAUUGUUUCUCUGCAACAAGAGGAAAACUUGGGAAAGGAUUCUGUAGGCACUGAGACCAUCAUAAGGAAUUGCAGGACCCAGAGAUUUUCAUGAAAGUGAAAUUGCUCAUAGGAAAUCAAAGCAAAUGGCCUUAAGAGUGGCAUCCAGUGGACCGUCCUCUGAAAAGUGACCCACAAUUCUGCAUGAAUCUUUCCAGGACACUGAAUUGGAGCCAGCUGAUGUAAGGAGCUUACCUUGGUUGCCACCUUCUGGUCUCUGUUUGAGGAACAACUGCAUGUGAUUAAGGGUAACAGAUACAGAAUUUGUGUUAAGCCCAGGAUGUAAUUUGUUGAAUGAGUAGCAAUUGACUUGAAAAUUGGAUGGAUGGGGAUUGUGUUUCUUUACUCUCUCUCUCUUUUCUUUCUCCCUCUCAAUACGGCUAGAUUAAAUCAUCUUUAGUCUAGUCAAAUCAGUGCUUGCUGUUGUUAAGAAGGAUAUUCUUGAGGUAUAGUACUUCAGGGAUGCUAAUUGGGAUUUGAGCAAGAUGAAAUUUCUACCCAGGUGUGUGCAUCGUAUACUGGAGAUGGCAAAAACUGGUUCCAAAUGAGGGUGUGUUUGUGUUCCUAGGCAUGUUCCUAUAGGGGCCAAAAAGAUGCAAAAUCUUCUUUUCUAAAGCUUUUGGUGUUCUCAAGCUUGUCUACACAAUGGAAUCACCUGGAGAAUUUGGAAAACCAAAAAUACUGAUACCACUGAUCCUACCCAACAGAUUCUAUUUUAAUUGGUAUGGAGUAUGGCCUCAGCACUGAUAUUUUUUAAAGUUUCUGAGGCGAUCCUAAUGUGCAGCAAAGCACCGUCAAGCCCCCUCUCUCUGAGGAGGCACCAGCUGCAAGCAUGUUUUACACCAAUAUGUUUGCUGAAUAUAAACAUCCCAGUGCAAACUCUUGCACCCCAGAACUCUGGGCUGCUUGUGGACAGUCUUUGGCAAAGUCUGAAUUUAUAAACUGAUAAUACAUAUAAUUCCAUAGGCUCCAUAUGGUUCGUGUUAUCCUGGGGGGAACUAUACACAUUUGCCUUGCCCCAGGAUGGAAAGAUAAAUAACAGAUGUGGAUAAUUUUUAUCAUACUUGUACUGAACAAUAAUAAAAAAAUUAGAAAUGAAGGAGCAGAGAGAGAAGUAAAACUCAUGAAAACAAAGCUCAAAUCAAUUAUUCUACGUUAUAUCUUUGCAUUUUUAAGAAUCCAAAUACACAGUAGUACUCCAUAGAAAAACCUGUCAUACAGUUCUCCAUUUCUAAGGGAGACUAUCUCUAGAGUGAUGAGACAUAAUAUUAAAAUUGUAUGUUAAUAAAGUUAAUCAAUUUGUUAUUAGUGAUAAAAAGUAAAAUCUACAUAGAGCUUACUGUGUACCAGACACUGUUCUAAGCACUAUACAAGUAUUAACUUAUUUAACCCUCAUUAUAAUCCUGAGACAAAUCCUAUUAUUAUCCUUAUUUUACAGAUGAAGAAACUGAGACCCCAAGAAUUUAAGUAAUUUGUUCAAGGCAACACACUGCUAUGUGGUAGAACUACAAAUUGAGCCCAAAUAAUCCAGCUUCAGAUACUAUGCAAAGGUAUCCUAGGUGUGGGGGUGAUAACCUGGUGACAAUCCCUUCUCAGAAGGAAAACAGGUCCCAUCUACAGAGGUGAAGCAGAGUGUGGAACUGAAAAACUCAAUGGAAGAAUGGCUAUUAAGAUUUAGGACGGCUGGGAAAUAAUAAAGUAAUAAUAAUAAUACUAGGUAUUGACGUGUGCUACAUGCCAGGCCUUGGGUGACAUUUGGAUUGAUUCCCAUUUUCUUUACUUUUCAGCAGUGGGGUCUUUCACCUUUCAAGCUCUGCCUGAGAAGUCAACAUGGUGGCAUUUGGCUAGGUUCUUUUAGGCAACCAAUUGUUUUAACAUGAUUUGUUGAAAAGCCUAUUCUCUCUUUCAUUGAACUAUAAUGCUAGCUCUGUCAUAAAUCAAAUUUUCAUUUGAUUUAUGAUAUGAAAAUUAUAUGCAUUUGAUUGAUAUGCAUUUUUUCUCCAAUGAUACUCAACUGUCUUAAUUAUAUAAUUUUGUAGUAAUUCUUGGUAUCUAAUUAGGCAAAUACCCACUCCCAACCCUGUUUCUUUUGUUUUUAAAUCCAGGGGUGUUUUGGAUAUUCUCGUUCAUUUGUGCUUCCACC